UACGUAGGUGGCAAGCGUUAUCCGGAAUUAUUGGGCGUAAAGCGCGCGCAGGUGGUUUCUUAAGUCUGAUGUGAAAGCCCACGGCUCAACCGUGGAGGGUCAUUGGAAACUGGGAGACUUGAGUGCAGAAGAGGAAAGUGGAAUUCCAUGUGUAGCGGUGAAAUGCGUAGAGAUAUGGAGGAACACCAGUGGCGAAGGCGACUUUCUGGUCUGUAACUGACACUGAGGCGCGAAAGCGUGGGGAGCAAACAGGAUUAGAUACCCGAGUAGUCC
rnacentral:rRNA from 1 species